rnacentral:rRNA from 1 species
UACGUAGGGUGCAAGCGUUGUCCGGAAUUAUUGGGCGUAAAGAGCUCGUAGGCGGUCUGUCGCGUCGGCUGUGAAAUCCCGGAGCUCAACUCCGGGUCUGCAGUCGAUACGGGCAAACUGGAGUACUGCAGGGGAGACUGGAAUUCCUGGUGUAGCGGUGGAAUGCGCAGAUAUCAGGAGGAACACCGGUGGCGAAGGCAGGUCUCUGGGCAGUAACUGACGCUGAGGAGCGAAAGCGUGGGGAGCGAACAGG